GCCCCGAUGCGCCUAACAGCCAGCAAAUGACUGUCAAUCACUCGGUCCCUGGUUCGAGUCCAGGUCGUGAAGCCA
rnacentral:tRNA from 1 species